GAAAAGGAGAACAAGUCAUAGAUUAUAUGCAAAAUGCCAGCAAACUUGAACAAUCAUACAUAUGCACUGUUUUUCCAAACAAAAUUAAGUCUCAAAGGAUAGAGGAUUCCAAAAGAAGAGCCGAGUAAGAGGAUUCAGUUCACAAUGUUCCAACCGUAUCGACAGAUUAAUGAAGAUAUGUAGCCAAAAGAUUGGCCUAGAAUUGUGUUCUUAAUCAAUGAACAGCUAGUUUCUUUGCUGUCCAUCGCUUUUUGGUAGUCUCCAUUGCUUCCUCCCUCAUCCUAGAAAGCUCAUGAAACCAAUUCUGGUAUUGUGCUUCAAUUGUGGCAAGCUGCAGCUUUAGCUCAACAUUUAGAUCCUUGCCAACUAGGAACAGAUAUGAAGAGUUGCUUGUCAAGCUCAUAUCAUUGGGUACUCCACUUAGCUUGGGAAAUGGCAACUCCGAAUUCCUUGCAUAUUCAUUCAUUGGAAUGCAUACUCCGAUACUACUAUAGUUUCUUUCCAAUUUGUGAUCAAAAUAGGGAUCCCCAAGCUCUGGUUCAGAAACAUAUCCGCUUAAGUCUCCAUCAGUAUUGUAAUCAGGGAGUUCAGACAUUUUAUCAAUUUUAGAGGAAGCAUCUUCAACCAGUAUCUCUGAAAUAACUGAUGCUUGUGAAUCUUGAUCUUCCAUAUUAGCCAAACUUGGAGGAGAAUAAUUGUCAAAAUGAUAAAUGACGCUGCUAGUGUUAUCACAGCGAUUAUCUUCACCAGCUUGUAAGCUACCUCCUUGAGGAGUUGUGGUAAACCCAGAGAGAGCAUCUUGUUCGACCACUGGCUGAGCAGAAACACUGGUUAGCUCUGAAUUCCAAGGGGAAGCCACUGAUUUCUCAAGGACUGAGUCCGUGUAAAUACUUGUGACUCCACUCAAGCAAUAAUCGGAUGAGGGCUUCCAACCAGGAAGAAGUUUCAUAAUCAAGUAAUCAAUGAACUCGGCUAUGAAGGCCACAUCAUGAUCUGCCAACUCUAGUUGUUCAGCCAUCUCACUUGACACUGAUAGUGCAGUAUCACUAUCAAGGUAGAAGAGGAAAUGAAUAUUUCUAACCCGACUAGAAGAGUCAGCAAUUCGCAAUGUCAAUGAUACAGAAUUUUCAUCAUUUUUUGUCCCUCUUAACCUAAAUUCCUUGUUCUUAUGUGCUCUCUGAUAUUCCAACACUGGAAAUUUGGUGCCUUCAUUAUUGUUGCUUCCAGUACAUGAGCUUAAACAAAGCUGCUUAUAGUCUCUGUCCAUGUCCAUGGACAGAGGUCCUGACUUGUUUAAACUCGAUGAUUUAGCAUACUGGUUGGGUAAGAGCAAGGGAUCACGGAUUGAUUCUACGGGAUUCUGAAGCUGAAGGAAUGGAUCUUUGAGAAGCUCUUUUGCAGACAAUCUUUCAGAUGCUGGAACCAGACAUUUCAGAAUGAACUCCUUAAUUUGAGGAUCGCUCACUUUACUAAGGGAAGCAGGUUUAACACCGGAGGUAACCUUCUUAUAAAUUUGAGCAGGAUUUUUACAUUCGCUAUAUGGGUAUUCGAAAGUAACCAUUUCUAACAUGCACAUCCCAAAAGAGUAUAUGUCAAUGAGUUCAUUAUAUUCCUCUUCGUAAAGUUCUGGAGCCAUAAACUCAGGAGUUCCAAUAACACUUCUAGCAGUAGGCUGCUGCAUAACGAUGGCCAAUCCAAGGUCUCCAAUUUUAACUUCUCCAUGAUGUCCAUUAACAAAUACAUUAUCACAUUUUAAAUCCCUGUGAAUGAUGGGAGGAUUAUGACCAUGGAGAUAGACUAAACCUUGGAGAAUUUGCCUUGCCCAAUUCUUUAUUGCCUUCAUAUCGACAUUCUUAUGCUUCUUACGAUAUUGCCUCAGAUUCCCAGACGUGAAGAGUUCAGUGAUCAUGUUAACAGUUUUCAUCUUUUCGUCCACCCAGGAGUAAUAGAACUUCAAGAUAUUUUCAUGGUUCAAUGAUCUCAGCAGAUGAACUUCAGAAUACAAUUUUUCUAAACCUUCUGGUGAUUGCAAGACAUCAUCAAUCCUCACUUGGUUCCACGCAACCUCUAUUCCAUCUACUUCAUCAAAUGCCUUGUAAACAGUCUUGAAAGCACCCCUGCCCAAUAUCUCAUCAUACCGCACAUAUCUACCAGUAGGAUCUUUUUCUACGAAAUCAGCCUCAUCAUCAGGAGGCUCCACUGCAGAAUACGUUCCAUUGUUAGAUGCCAAAAACAGUCCUCCUCGUCCACUUACAACACCACUAGUCAUCAUUGCUAACAAUGACAAAACAGAAAGCACCAAGAAGAAAAUGGAAAAAAUAUCUUUGAUCUAUUCUCGAAGUCAAAACUCUUUGCGUUCUUUAUGUUGUUUUUGCUCGGAGAAAGCCUCGGAAGCAAUGCAGAAAGAAUCGAAUGCCGAUAAUCGCAAUAGGACACGGCAUUCGACAAUGACCACGGCAGCGGCAACGUCGUUUCCUCCUCGAGGCAAUGAACCUGCACAAUUCAUAACCCCAUCUGCCGCGCCUCUGCAACUCCUUUCCAUUCUCAAACCAGUCCCAGCACCAUCCGCUCCUCCAAUAACAUCCUUAUG
rnacentral:misc_RNA from 1 species